CGUUGUUGGGUUGCUGCCCCUGAAUUUGUAAUUUUGAGAACAUUUUGCAGCUUUUGGUUAUUAUCUUUAAUAUUAUUAUAGAGAUAACCUGUAAACAGCAAUAAUGUACAGCAAACUAAGACCUACAAAUAAGUCAACAUGAUCAAAAUGGUCAUUUGACCGAGUAGUUAUCGCCCUUUAUAGUCAAUUUUUAACAAAUUUUGUAAAUUUUGUAAAUUUUUACAAAAUAUUUUAACUGCUAAGUUCAUUAUAGAUAGAGAUAAUUGUAAGCAGCAAGAACAUUCAGUAAAGUAAGAUCUACAAACACAUCACCA
rnacentral:lncRNA from 1 species